UACAGAGGUCUCAAGCGUUGUUCGGAUUCAUUGGGCGUAAAGGGUGCGUAGGCGGCGCGGUAAGUCGGGUGUGAAAUCUUGGAGCUUAACUCCGAAACUGCAUUCGACUACUGCCGUGCUUGAGGACUGGAGAGGAGACUGGAAUUUACGGUGUAGCGGUGAAAUGCGUAGAUAUCGUAAGGAAGACCAGUGGCGAAGGCGGGUCUCUGGACAGUUCCUGACGCUGAGGCACGAAGGUCAGGGGGAGCAAACGGG
rnacentral:rRNA from 1 species